GGGUGAGUAACGCGUGAGGAACCUGCCUCAAAGAGGGGGACAACAGUUGGAAACGACUGCUAAUACCGCAUAAGCCCACGGCUCGGCAUCGAGCAGAGGGAAAAGGAGUAAUCCGCUUUGAGAUGGCCUCGCGUCCGAUUAGCUAGUUGGUGAGGUAACGGCCCACCAAGGCGACGAUCGGUAGCCGGACUGAGAGGUUGAACGGCCACAUUGGGACUGAGACACGGCCCAGACUCCUACGGGAGGCAGCAGUGGGGAAUAUUGCACAAUGGGGGAAACCCUGAUGCAGCGACGCCGCGUGGAGGAAGAAGGUCUUCGGAUUGUAAACUCCUGUUGUUGGGGAAGAUAAUGACGGUACCCAACAAGGAAGUGACGGCUAACUACGUGCCAGCAGCCGCGGUAAAACGUAGGUCACAAGCGUUGUCCGGAAUUACUGGGUGUAAAGGGAGCGCAGGCGGGAAGACAAGUUGGAAGUGAAAUCUAUGGGCUCAACCCAUAAACUGCUUUCAAAACUGUUUUUCUUGAGUAGUGCAGAGGUAGGCGGAAUUCCCGGUGUAGCGGUGGAAUGCGUAGAUAUCGGGAGGAACACCAGUGGCGAAGGCGGCCUACUGGGCACCAACUGUCGCUGAGGCUCGAAAGUGUGGGUAGCAAACAGGAUUAGAUACCCUGGUAGUCCACACCGUAAACGAUGAUUACUAGGUGUUGGAGGAUUGACCCCUUCAGUGCCGCAG
rnacentral:rRNA from 1 species